rnacentral:lncRNA from 1 species
AUAAAAUACGCUGCUGCAAAUCUUACUCUCAAAUGCAAGUACGAACAAAUAAGAAAACGACAACCACCCUCGUUAAUUCACAGUCAUUAUCACUCCAGGUAGGUGUCUAUGCGAAAUAUUUCAUAGACAACACUUAUCGCACUUCUGCUACACCAACCACUAAGCAAUGUUUUAAAACCAUAUUUGCUACUGAGAGCUAUUUAUCGGGAGUGUUAAAAUCUUGAAGGAACGUAUUCUCUCAGCCACUGCAGGUCUUCUGCUCUUCCUGUCCCUCUGCGGCAGAGAAUGGAAUUAACGAGAAAGGGAAAAUGGCUGUACUGAAAUGCUAUCUCGUAGCUGCUCCAUCUUUUGUUCAAGAAGAAAGCAGAUUAGCUGGCACUGAGGAGCAGAAUACUUUGCCGUCAGCCGCUGGCAGUCUGGUAUGCCUGGUGUCCGUAUGCCCCAUCCAUCUGUUUCACUCAGUGGAUCUGCAGGAGGCAUCGGGCUUUCCAAAGCAUUGCCUGCUCUAGUGCUGAUGUAUUAAGGAUGCUGCUGCCAACAUUUAAGAAUCACAUCAGGGAAAUUUCUCUCCUCCACCCCCCAUGCAAAUUAUUCUCAAGUGAAGUAAAUAAACAGGACAAGAUGGCCACGGGGAGUAGGCUGUAGGUUGAAGGGUUCUGCAAAGAGGUCCUUUAUAAUCACUCUUUACUGUCAAAAAUGUCAUCUUUUUCUCUUGAAAAAUAAGAAUCUGAAAAAGCACAUUUUGUUUCUAAAUACCAUUAAAUUAUCUAAUCGCAUGUAUGUAAACGCGAGGGUUUAAACAGGGUGUCUAUCCAAUUUUCUCUCCAUAAACCUUUUUUUAACCAUAUUCAAAGCAGGCUAAUAUGGUUUUCAUUUAAACAAGUUGCAGUGAAUUUAUGUGGAAUUAUCAUUUAAACAUAUACAACUGUCCAGUGUAGAGGCUGCCAUCUUGAAAUUGGUUCAAAGGUUUUAAACCCUUAGAGAGCUUGAAUGAUGGCACAAUCAGAGCUGCAGACAAUGCGGUUUGAAUUCUAUUAAUGUCUUCUGUUUAAGACUAUUUGUUUGAGAUGUACUUAGGCAGAAUGUAAAAAUGAAAUAAAAACGGCUGACGCCCCAGCCUUCAUUGCACUGAACACGUUCUUUCAUAGCUGUGGUGCUUUCUAAAAUUCCAUUAUAAGUAUUUUACAUUAGUGAACAAUAUUGUUCACCAGUGUCAUGUUCCUUUAUUUUAUUCAGAGAAACAAAUAUCAUAUAAUAAAGGGAGGGGGGUGAUAACCAAAGUUACUACAAUAAUUCUAUUCAUUUUAGACUGUGUUUUUUGGAAGCAGUCUAAUGCUAUUUUAUCAAAAAGAUAAUUUAUGCUGGCACUCAAUCACAUAGGUGGUGCUGGUAUUCGAGGUUAUCCCUAAGAAAGCCCCAUAAAUAGCAUUACAAAAAAUAUAUAUGAAUACCGCACUCAAUGUAGUAAAAUAAUAAACCGUAGAUAAAGCAGUACUGUAAUUGAAUUUAUUAUUUUCAAUUCUUUGAUGUCUAGGUAUAUAACUUAAUAUGUGAGAUUAUAAUUUAAUCAAUGAAUAUAUUACAUCAUAUAGUCAAUCGCUAUUUACAAAAAUAACCUCCAUAGGUGUUAUAUAGAUAAAUAAUUGAUAUAUAAACACAGUUGUAAGGAUUCCUGUUUGCAAAUCUAAGGAAAACCUAUCCAUAUGGAUAAUAGUUGAAUCUGUGGUGUUCUAUGUACAUAGAAAAAAGAAAAAAGAAAAAAUGAAAAAAUGAAAGAAAGAAAUAUGAAAAAUGAUGAAAAAUUGAAAAAAUAUAAAAGAGAAAAAAAUAAAAAUAAAAAGUGUACAGAUAGUAAAUGUCCUGAUGUACAAUAGUCCAGAGAAUAGUGCACUUUAUAUAAUAAAUAGGUGGAUCUCACCAAGUUGAAUAUCCAGAUGGAUUGUAGCCUUAGUAGCAACUGGAAAAAAUGAAUGAAUGAAGACUCUGUGAAGUGUCUAUUGGAGGAUUUUAAACUGCUGAAUUCCAGAAGAAGGGGUGGCUUGAGAGACGAGAGAAGUGGGGGGGGGGAGUUUCCUGAUCAUGGCAUAGGUGGUGGGAACGGAACUCUGGGUCUGUCAUACAUGCUUGGGGCCGGCGGCCCAAAGUUAUCAGUUUUGGUUAAACAAAACAAGUUUGGUUAACAAUGUUUUCUAAAUAAAGCUGUGACCAAGCUCUUUCACCCAAAACAUGUGUCCAAUGUAUUGUUGGUCGGGGUUGAACUUCGGUGUGGAAUGGUAGUUUCCAUGUAGUUUGACAAUCAAGCAGUGUUUUUAAUGACAUAUCUAUUGUGUGAAACGGAAAUCUAUAUUGAAAGAUAUUGUAUCAGAGACAGAGCCGGUACAUCACGCAGGAAGACUUGGUGAUUCUGACAACCUACGAUUUCAGAAAAGCAAUGAUCUAAAUAACAUGUGUACGAUUCAGUAUAGUGAGGCAUUGCAACAGUGUAACCAUAUAUUCUUCAUGUGAGAGGACCAAUUAUCCCUCCAGGAUGGUGCCCCCUAAUAAUAUACUUACUGUGGACUGUAACUUCCAUUAUAUGCAGUAAGCAGAAAGAUACCCUUAUCUCUCUUAUUUGAAUACGGAACGGGUUUCAGCACUUAGUACAUAAUGCACAUUACACACUCGUUAGUGGAGCUGAAUCGAGGUUCAGAAGGUUCUUUUGGAGAACUAAGUACAUUUACUGAAAGUAAAUCUGAGCAUUACCCAGCACAGCUAGCAGGGAUUAUUUUUAACCUUCAGCUUGGUUUUUAUUUUUUUUUGUCAAAACGACAUACUUCAACAGUGCUUAAUGGGCUGAAUACACUAUGAAACAUCAACACUGGAAAGAUAACACGACCACGUAUGAGAAUCCUCAUUAAGACAAUGAAACAGAAAAGAGAUGGAUGGCGUUUUGAUGUCCAGAAGUUCAGCCGUAAUGACCUUUCCACUGUGGAAACGGCCACGUGGCACAUAUCAGAUAUACUGACACUUGGCAUUAAUGCUGUGGAAAAUAUACUUUGUUGUAUUUUUUUCGUUUCCCAGGUAUGGAUAAACGUGAACUUGUUUUCGUUGCCACGGUGAUGAGAGAUUCUCCUUUCUACAGUAACUGUGAAAUAACUUGGGAAUUCAGGUCUCUGUCGGCCUCUCGCUGUGCGAGUUCAGCAGAUCAUUUGAGACACUCUCCAUUAGCCGGCCAGCGGCCUGCUUGUCUCCCGGACAACUGUGUGACAUUAGCUGUUUGGAUGCGGAUAGCAGAGCUGACAUAAUACAGAUGUCAUGAUGUGAAGAGCUCUGUAUUUUUGGGCAAAUCGCUCCGCCGCCGAAUGAAGGCUCUGUUCUUACAGGACAUUAUAGCAUGACCGUUUAAAUGUUACUAUUCGGCAUCUCUUUAAUCUCCCCUGGCUACAGCUGCGAGACCAUCUGAGGACUUGGAGGCCGAAGUUUUACAUGAAAGAAAUUGAAGAGGGUAUGAUGAUAAGACUUAGGGCGUAUGUUUUGUUCACAAAGUGAAUAGUGAACAUUUACACGUUACUCAAAGUGAAACGGAAAUCCAGAGCAGCCAAACUGAAAGCCUAGUCAACUUAGAAAGCAAUUCCAGUUUGGUUAUUUAAAUCUUAAAUUUGAAACUCACAAUGAAUUCACUUUAAAUUCUCACUUUAGUGAAUAAUUCACCGGAACUUCUGUGUUCACUACUCUCUGUGUUCACUGUGGACCAUGUACUCGCACGUGGAUGCUUUUAAAUGGGCUGUACCUGAAAUUACCUUCAAUAAUCAGAGACAUCAUUAAUAAUCUCAGUGGACCUUGAUCUAGUGAUAUUAAGAAUACAUUAUAUAGAGAUUUGUCUGGCCACCCCACGUUAAGUGUUCUCUAGGAAUUGUGAGUGUUGAUUUUACAGUUUGAUGAAAAAUGAACCUGAAUACCACUGCUUUAGGAUCUUAAUAUUUUAAUAGUGUCACAGAGAUGCGAGAUAGGGAUAGGGCCUUUACCUUCAUACUUGAUUUUAAUUUCAUAUUUUACCGUCCUGUCCAGCCAUGUUGGGGAAGGGAGGUGUGACGGAACGCUGGCACUCCGACUGAGUACCUCCGCCAAUCGAUGCUCCUAGUGCUCGCUGAGGACUCCAAGCACUCCAACCGACACCAUCAGCACUGCAGACCCCACUUCCAGCGAUGCAACUGCGCCGGGGUCUCUGCUGUUUCCACCCACCCUGGACCCAAGGCCAGGAUCCAGCUUCCAGUGGGUGAACCUCUCUUUCCCCAGAGAGCAGGAACAGGAACAAAUCAAGCUAUUGCAAGAGCUUCCUCUGGGGAGUAAGUGAUUAUAGCAAUCCCCAGAGUGUAGGUAUCCCUUCCCCCAAACAUGAGCCAAGGCUUAAUACUGGAACAAGACUGAUUUACUGGCACACAGAACUCACAAUUUAUGCAACACAAAACUCCUCCUCUGGGCCAGGCUAGAUAAUUGAGUUUCUACAAUACACAAAGCUCAAUUAUCUGCUGGCCAGAAAUAAUACAGUUUCAUAAAACACACAGGGACCCCAAAACAUGCAAUAACCCCAUAAAAAUCCUUGGAACCGGGGGAUCUGGGUGAACCACAUAUCCAAAAUUCACCCAGAUCCGUUCAGUACUUUGGAAAAUACAGUUUAAUGCAGAUUCUGCAGAACAUAUACAGGCUAAAUGAAAAACAAUCACUUUAUAAUGUGUCCCCUGCUGUAUAGUCCAAAACCACUGCACGAUGUCUCUGUGCACCAAAUACUGGCAAGAUGGCACCGUGUUGAAAAGUCCAAACAGUGUCUGUGAGUUAAAAUGGCCGCCAUCCAUUGUUCUCACCAUGUGCUUCUGAUACAGGAAAUGGUGGCCACCCAGUAACUCCACAGUAUGUCCCCAGAUGGUUCUUAAAGGGCCAGCAGCAGCACAACACAAAUCCAUUAUGCCCAAAUCAUGUCUUUAAAGGGCAAUACAUCCCAGGGGCCAUAGUCACAGGGCAAGAGGCGGGCAAGCAGUCCUCUCCAGGCACAAGUGGCGAAGGGCACUUCGUCACACAUCUUCCCUUUGGGGGGAAGACUAAACAGGUACCUGACCUUCUGCCGGUCAGUACCUAGAUUAGUCGGGCAGCCCACCCACAAAGAAAAAUACGCAGAGUAACCCCCCCACAAUAAAUGGUACUGGUCUGUAGGUUCAUGUUUGUAGUGGGACAGCGCAGCACUCUCGGUCUCCCUGGUGCAGCUAGGCAAACUGCUGGUGUUGCUUGGGGGGCAGAGGCCAGUGGCGCUCUGCCCUGCUGCCAGCUCUUCCACUGGGGUAACCCGUAGUAAGUCAGGCUCUGAUACAGGGGAAAUGGGGGGGUAAAGGCUAACAGAGCUCUGCCCAGAUGCCAGCUCUUCUGCUGGGGUAACCCGUGGUAAGUCAGGCUCUGAUACAGGGGAAAAGGGGGGGCAGAGGCUAACAGAGCUCUCCCCAGAUGCCAGCUCUUCUGCUGGGAGGGGGUCAGUGGGUAUCGCAGGCUCAUCCACUGCCCCCAGGACCUGGUUGGGAUGUAGCUGGGGAGGGGAAGUUUCACUUACCUCCUCCUCCUGGCAUCCCUGUGGGGUUGGUUGGGGAUCUGGUCCGCCCGUCCAGCCUCCCUGUAGGACUGGCACAGAGACCGCGGUCCAAUCUGCGCCAGUGUGGUUAGGUUUGUCUUCCCCCUCUCCCGGUAUCUCUGGCUGCUGUUGGAGGGGGAGGCUGGUUGCCCCCACUCUCCAGGACGCUGGUUGCUGUAAGGUGGAGGGAUCGACCAUCACCUCCUCCUGGAACUCAGGCCGCCGCUGGGGAGAGAGACCAGUUGUCUCCUCUCCCUGUAUAUUAUACUGCCGCUGGGGACCUGGGCUGACUGCCCAGCAUCCCUGUAGGGCUGGCAGAGAGACUUCAGUCCCAUCUCUGUGUGUCCCCAGGACACGUCUAUGAGGUCCACUACCUCAGGUACCUCUGGUUGGUGGAGGAGAGGGAGGCCGGUUGCCUCCCCUCCCCAGGACGCUGGUUGCUGUAUGGGGGAGGGAUCUACCAUCACCUCCUCCUGGAACUCAGGCUGCUGCUGGGAAGGGAGACCGGUUGUCUCCUCUCCCUGUGAGAUACACUGCCGCUGGGAUCUGGGCCGGGUACCCAGCAUCCCUGUGGGGCAGGUGGAGAGACCUCGGUUCCAUCUCCACCUGCCAUCUGUGGGUCUUCCCAGGACCGUUCCAUAAGGUUGCUCACCUCUGGGGCUGGUUGGACAGAAGAGGGUAGGGUGUCCAGGUAAUCCUCUGGGCUGAGGGACGGUGAUUGGGCUAAGUUGAACAGGCGUCGGUAGCUCUGCUCCAGCCCCCACUCCAUUGCGACCAGAUGACUCAGGUCUGGCCCCAGGUCGUCCGCUCGGGGAAGAUCCAGCAGGGUUUCCCUGAUGUUGUGGAUGUCCCAGAACCGAAACUCUGUGGGGCAUCCAAAGUCAUCGCCCUCCUCAUAGGCCUCCCACAGUAAGCCCGGGCCAUUAUAAUCCUCUCCCUCGGGCAGAUAGUGGUUAGUCAUCGAGGGGUUGCGCUGGGUGGCGUACCACUUUAAUGCCCGGUAAGCUGCAUCUAGCCACAACUCCUUCCAAAUUAAAUCCCAGAGUUCCAACAACCAUUCAUCCAAGGGUUGCUCCCCUAGGAAAGGGGAGCGCAGGGCCUCGAGUACCUGGAACCGCUGCUCGUCACUGGGAAGGCUCUCUCCCCGCCGCCAUUGUACCUUUUCCAGGGCAUCGUGCCACAUCUCCGUACGAGUGACAUCUCUCCAGUUCAGUAUGCACUCCUCUGAUACAGGCCCGUCCUGUUGGGCCAAGUGCUGCUGCAACCUCCAGCGAAACUCCUCUUCCAUGUUGCUGUGGAUAGGGACGCUGCCCGUAGCUAGCUCUAUCCCUUGAGUUCCUCUGAAGCCAGGGUCACUGCACAAGUGCUAGCGUUGCCCUCAAUUAUAAAUCCGUAACUCCACACGUUACCGGUGUCUCCGAGCUGCUGGUCCUCGCACUAGGACGCCAUCCCGCCGCUGCCACCAAAUGUGACGGAACGCUGGCACUCCGACUGAGUACCUCCGCCAAUCGAUGCUCCUAGUGCUCGCUGAGGACUCCAAGCACUCCAACCGACACCAUCAGCACUGCAGACCCCACUUCCAGCGAUGCAACUGCGCCGGGGUCUCUGCUGUUUCCACCCACCCUGGACCCAAGGCCAGGAUCCAGCUUCCAGUGGGUGAACCUCUCUUUCCCCAGAGAGCAGGAACAGGAACAAAUCAAGCUAUUGCAAGAGCUUCCUCUGGGGAGUAAGUGAUUAUAGCAAUCCCCAGAGUGUAGGUAUCCCUUCCCCCAAACAUGAGCCAAGGCUUAAUGCUGGAACAAGACUGAUUUACUGGCACACAGAACUCACAAUUUAUGCAACACAAAACUCCUCCUCUGGGCCAGGCUAGAUAAUUGAGUUUCUACAAUACACAAAGCUCAAUUACCUGCUGGCCAGAAAUAAUACAGUUUCAUAAAACACACAGGGACCCCAAAACAUGCAAUAACCCCAUAAAAAGUAUAUCCUUGGAACCGGGGGAUCUGGGUGAACCAAAUAUCCAAAAUUCACCCAGAUCCGUUCAGUACUUUGGAAAAUACAGUUUAAUGCAGAUUCUGCAGAACAUAUACAGGCUAAAUGAAAAACAAUCACUUUAUAAUAUGUCCCCUGCUGUAUAGUCCAAAACCACUGCACGAUGUCUCUGUGCACCAAAUACUGGCGAGAUGGCACCGUGUUGAAAAGUUCAAACAGUGUCUGUGAGUUAAAAUGGCCGCCAUCCAUUGUUCUCACCAUGUGCUUCAUCCAUUGUUCUCACCAUGUGCCUCUGAUACAGGAAAUGGUGGCCACCCAGUAACUCCACAGUAUGUCCCCAGAUGGUUCUUAAAGGGCCAGCAGCACAACACAAAUCCAUUAUGCCCAAAUCAUGUCUUUAAAGGGCAAUACAUCCCAGGGGCCAUAGUCACAGGGCAAGAGGCGGGCAAGCAGUCCUCUCCAGGCACAAGUGGCGAAGGGCACUUCGUCACAGGAGGGCAUUGUAUUCAAUUAGAGUGUAGGGUGGAGGAUGCAGUGCAUUAGAGUGGAGGGAGGGAGGGAUGGUGGGCAGUGUAUUGGAUUUGGGGGCAGUGUAUUAGGAGGAAGGGGGGCAGUGUAUUGGAUUUGUGGGCAGUGUAUUAGGAGGAAGGGGGGCAGUGUAUUGGAUUUGGGGGCAAUGUAUUGGAUUUGUGUGGCAGUGUAUUAGAUUAGAAGUCUGCAUGGAGGCGCUAAACGCUUCCUAUGGAGAUGCUAAAUGGCCGUGCUGCUUUUUGCCACACAUGUAAAAUAGCCAUCCUAUAGGAAAGCAUUGGACUGGCUGAGAUCAUCAAGUUUGACGAUAUUAGCCGAAGUGAAAAACACACUCCUAGGACUUCAAAAUCAAUAAGAUAACAUAUUUUGUUUUUUACAGCUGUGCAACAGCAUACAUUCACCAUUUCAAUCCCAUUACCAAACUUUCUUAAAGGACCACUAUAGUGCCAGGAAAACAUACUCAUUUUAGUGGCACUAUAGUGCCCUGAGGGUGCCCCCACCCUCAGGGUCCCCCUCCCGCCAGGCUCUGGGAAGAGGAAGGGGUUAAACUUACCUCUUUCUCCAGCGCCGGGCGGGGAGCUCUCCUCCUCCUCUCCUCCCUCUUCUCCUCCUUUUCGGCUGAACGCGCAUGCGCGGCAAGAGCCACGUGCGCAUUCAGCCAGUCCAUAGGAAAGCAUUCACAAUGCUUUCCUAUGGACGCUGGCGUCUUCUCACUGUGAAAAUCACAGUAAGAAGCACGCAAGUGCCUCUAGCGGCUGUCAAGAGACAGCCACUGGAGGCUAUAUUAACCCAUUUAUAAACAUCGCAGUUUCUCUGAAACUGCUAUGUUUAUUAAAAAAGGGUUAACCCUAGCUGGACCUGGCACCCAGACCACUUCAUUAAGCUGAAGUGGUCUGGGUGCCUAUAGUGGUCCUUUAAUAUGUCAAGGUAGUUGGACUGAAUCAUUGGUUAUAUGCAAAUGAAUGUCUCCUUAACGCCGUUACGGCGUUCAAUGCCGUCGCGGCUUUAAAGGGCUCUAAAGCCGUUGCAGCGGCAUAGAACGCCGUAACGGCUUAAGCCCUCAGGAGGUCCGGCAUACUCACCUCCGCCGCGAUCCUCUUCUGGCAGCCCUCCCCCAGCGAAUGAGGCCCCCAGGGGCCAUGUGAUCGCUCUGUGGAUCUGCCAGCAGGGGGGCUGUCUGAAAUGUCAGACAGUCCCCCUGCUGGUGGGAAAUGUAAAAAAAUAAAUAAUAAACAUGUUUUAAAAUAAAACAAAUAUAUUUACAUAUAUAUGUAUAUCAUAUAUUAGUAUUAAAAUACACUUAGAAUGACGUUACACAUAUAUAUAAUAUGUAUAUAUAUAUCUAUUAUAUAUAUAAUAGAUAUAUACACAUAUAUUAUAUAUAUAUAUACGUAUAAUUACAAUAAUAAAUAAAUAAAAUAAUAAAUAAAUAAAAUAUUAACACAAAAUUUUAUAUAAAUUAUAUAUUCAUAUGUAAUUUCAUUCUAACUGUAUUUUGUUAUUAAUAUAUAUAUAUAUAUAUAUAUAUUCGUAACAAAAUACACUUAGAAUGACAUUCUAUAUAUAUCUAUCUAUAUAUAAAAUACAAAUAACCGCAAAUAUAUUUAUAUAGAUAUAUACAUAUAAUUACAUAAAAGAUUACAUUAGUAUACACGUAGAAUUUAAAUACCUAUAAAUGCAUAUAUAUUAAAAUUCUACGUGUAUAUUUAAAUAAUCUUUUAACAUAAUUAUGUGAUUUUAUUAAUUAAAAUUUGAUUGACAUGCCUGACAACACAGGGAGAAAGUGCAGAGAAUUUAAUUCGCAAGCACUAUAUUUGACCCUGUAACUCUCCAAGACACCAAAAAACCUGUACAUGGGGAGAGGGGUACUGUUUUACUCGGGAGACUUUGCUGAACUCAAAUAUUAGUGUUUCAAAUUGGUAAAUUGUAUUACAACGAUGAUUUAAGUAAAAGUUAAGUUUUUUGCAUUUUUCACAAACGAACGGCACUUUUAUGGACUAUAUUAUUGUUGUAAUAUGUUUUACUGUUUUGAAACACUAAUAUUUGUGUUUAGUGAAGUCUCCCGAGAAUAACAAUACCUCCCAUGUACAGGUUUUAUGGUGUUUUGGAAAGUUAGAGAGUCACAUAUAAGGCCUGCAUUUCAUUUUUUUGACAUUGAAAUUUGCCAGAUUGAUUAUGUUGCCUUUGAGAGCGUAUAGUAGCCCAGGAAUGAGAAUUACCCCCAUGAUGGCAUACCAUUUGCAAAAGUAGACAACCCAGGGUAAUGCAAGUGGGUAAUGUCCAGUCUUUCUUAGUAGCCACUUAAGAAAGUGUUAUUCUCGGGAGACUUCACUAAACACAAAUAUUAGUGUUUUAAAACAGUAAAACAUAUUACAACAAUAAUAUAGUCCAUAAAAGUGCUGUUCGUUUGUGAAAAAUGCAAAAAACUUCACUUUUACUUAAAAUAUCAUCGUUGUAAUACAAUUUACCAGUUUGAAACACUAAUAUUUGAGUUCAGCAAAGUCUCCCGAGUAAAACAGUACCCCCCAUGUACAGGUUUUAUGGUGUCUUGGAGAGUUACAGGGUCAAAUAUAGUGCUUGCAAAUUAAAUUCUCUGCACUUUCUCCCUGUGUUGUCAGGCAUGUCAAUCAAAUUUUAAUUAAUAAAAUUACAUUAUUAUGUUAAAAGAUUAUUUAAAUAUACACGUAGAAUUUUAAUAUAUAUGCAUUUAUAGGUAUUUAAAUUCUACGUGUAUACUAAUGUAAUCUUUUAUGUAAUUAUAUGUAUAUAUCUAUAUAAAUAUAUUUGCGGUUAUUUGUAUUUUAACAUUGUUAACCAAACUUGUUUUGUUUAACCAAAACUGAUAACUUUGGGCCGCCGGCCCCAAGCAUGUAUGACAGACCCUUCGGUUGUCUACUUUUUCAAAUGGUAUGCCAUUAUGGGGGUAAUUCUCAUUCCUGGGCUACCACACCGUCUUAAAGGUAGCAUUAAUUUCAAUUUGAAAAUGGAACGUUCUAUAUUUGACCCUGACACUUUCCAAAACACCAUAAAACCUGUUAAUGGGGGGUACUGUUGUACUCGUGAGACAUCGCUGAUUACAAAUAUGUGCAUUUUUUUGCAGUAAAACCUAACAGUAUUAUGACAUUCACAGCUAAAAUGUCAGACGGAAAUACAAAUUUAAAAAAAAAUCUUAUUUUCUCACAUUUUUUAAAUGUUAUUUAUAAUAAAUUAUGUUCCAUAUAUGAAUAGUUAAUGAUAAAUUAAAGCCCUGUUUCUCCUGAACAAAAUGAUAUAUAAUAAGUGUGGGUGCAUUUAAUAUGAAAGAGGUGAAUUACGGUUGAACAGACAUAUAGCGCCAACUCUGAAGGGGUUAAAAUAAAUUUGUUCUUUUGUUUACUUUGAAGCCCUACGAGCGCGAGGAUGUCCAGUGUCAGGUAACUUUUUUUAUACUGAACUUUUCUAAAUUAACCUACUUUUCUAUGAAAACUGAAGUUUUUUUAGUGGCCCACAUAAACUUAAACCUUGUUUAUUUGGCCCGUGUUAGCCUUUGAGUUUGACAUGCUUGAUGUAGACCAUGGGUCGGCAACCUUUGACACUCCAGAUGAUGUGGACUACAUCUCCCCUGAUGCUUUGUAAGUAUUAUGGGAGAUGGAGUCCACAAAAUCUGGAGUGUCAUAUGUUGCCUUCCUCUGCUCUAGAUGAUGGACAGUACAGAGCUCCUUGUCCUAACUAUAUCUUGGAAACCUGGGAGCAAUCACUAUAUUCAGUGUUAGCUAGAAGAUAGGCUGUAAGAAGCUCCUUCUCCAUGUUUAGCUGUACCUUGGAGUGGCCACCUAUGCUCAAUAUUAUCUAGAAGGUGGACAGUACGAAGAUCCUUGUCCAUGUUCUAGCUGUACCUUGGAGACCAGGGAGUGGCCCCUAUGCUCAACGUUAUCUAGAAGAUGGACAGUGUGAAGCUCCUUCUUCAUGUUCUAGCUGUACCUUGGAGACCAGGAGCAGCCCUCUAUACUCAUCGUUAUCUAGAGGAUGGACAGUACGAAGCUCCUUCUCCAUGUUCUAGCUGUAUAACUAUCAUGAUCCUUAUCAAUGUUAUUUCGAUGUUCUCCUGUUAAAUAAAACAGACACCUGGGUCGUUAGCGCAGCUGUCACUUGGUAUGAUCCAUUUUUCCAGAACCUACUUCAAAAGAGUAUUUCUAUCAAGAUAAAAGAUCUUGGUGCAAUCCACAUUGUUAUUUAAAGGUACACUGUAGGCACCCAGACUACUUCAGCUUAUUGACGUUGUCUGGGUGCUGUGUCCCUUUUGCACUUAGUGCUGCACUGUUUACAUUGCAGCACUAAGUCUGCCCUCAGUGGCUGUCUACCAGACAGCCACUGGGAGUGCUUCCUGAAUCCAAACUGUCUUUUGCUCUGCAUAAGGACCUCCAGAAUCAGCUUUUCCCCACAGAUUCAAUGCUGUCCUAUGGGGGGGGGGGGUCUAAUGCGCGCGCGGCAUUUGGCGCGCAUAAGCAUUAGAUCCCACUCGUUGCAGGACGGAGGUGGGGACGGAGCUUCGACCCAGCGCCGGGGGACAUCGGCACUGGGAUCAGGUGAGUAAAUAAAGUUUUUUUUUAACCCUUUACUGUGUAGGAGGGGCAGUAUCCCUUUAAGCUUCAAUAUCAUGAAUUUAAUUGCUAUUAUUAUUGGUAUUCAUACAGCGCCAACUUUUACCGCAGCCCUUUACAAUAUUAUAAAGGAGGAAAUUUAACAAUAAAUGAGACAGUUUCCAAUGGUACAGAAACAAUAGGUAGAUGAGGAUCCUGCUCAAACGUACCUUACAUGGGGCAGUUUAGCUCUCCAGAGGGUGUAUGUAACUGGAAGUGCAGGAAAAAACAUCAGAAGUAAAACCUAGUGCUCAACUUAAUCCUUAAUUCUAGAUCUACACACUUGUGGAUGUAUUCCAAGAGUAAAAUCCUAAAUAAUAGAAUAAGAUAAUGAAUUUCCUUGAGGACGUAAGCUGUGCCGCAGAAGGGAAUAAACGCACAGAGGGUAGUAUCGCCUCUGUGUCCAGAGGGAGGUGUGAUGUUAGGGAGGGGAGCACAGCGUCUCCCGCCGUCUCUGCAUCUUAAUCUCCGCAGGUGGGGACUAAACGCACACAAAACAAUCUCCCUCACUUCGGGAAUCUGUGAAUAAAUAAUGCUGCAUAUGUAUUGCAUAUAAAAUGCUAGCUCCACGCCAUUACACAAAGUGUUCACUGCAGUAUAUAGGAAUUGGCUAAAAAAGAUACAUGCAUACAUUAAUAAACUAUAUCUAUCUAUAUCUGUAGAGAGAGAUUCCUUACACUUCACUGCCAAAGCGUAUACAUCCUCAAUGAUGAUAUGAUACAUUCACUGCCCACUGCUUGCAGGUAAAUAAAUCCACACUCGUAAUCUUAAAAAUCAGUCUAUACUUCAUUGCACAGAUGUCCUCAGAGAAGCUCCCAGUAAGCCUGUAUAGCAUGCAGAAUGAUAAAUAUGGAUUCCUCAUACCGGACUCCUGACUGCGUUAUUUGGGUGUAGAUACAUACAUAGUCCCCAUUUAUGAGCAGAAGGAUUCCAAAUCCUAAAACGUAGCUUGUUUUCUGGCGAAGCAUGAAUUAGCUACAGUUAUAUAAACAAUGGAAAUUUAAUCCGUACUUUUAUUCUCUGUCUGUUUAGGUUCCCAGGUUUCCAGUAAAUCAAAACUCGAUCUUCAGACUUAUAUUGUUCGUAUCCGAUGUUCGGGAAUAAUUUCAGGAUUCUCCUUGCGAUUUGCCAGAAUGUGGGUUUCAAUUUUGAUUUAGGAGGCUCAUCUGACACAAAGCAAUGGAUGGAAUUUGUGAAUUUAAAGGACCACGGUCAUCAAUUGUUUUUUUCAUAUCUUCAUAUUAGCUUUAUGUUUUAAUAUACCCCAUGAUUAUUUUUUAUGUUUGUUUGUUUUUUUUACAUUCUUUAUGAAUCUUAAUUAUUCUAGUGCACAAAUAAACUUACAGGCUUAUACGAAUGUUUUACAUGAGCAUGCACAAAAAGUUGAACUCUUGUUUAACAUAAAACAUUGGAGGUACUGCACGUUUUAUCGAAAUUACACACUAAACAAAUAUGUCUAGAGGCAUAGGAUGUUAUGACUCACUAUCAUAUUAUAUAUUCUAGACAUUGUGAGGAAAAGUUUAACAUAUUUAGUAGUGAACAUGUUUGAAUAACUGGUGUUCCACCACAGAGGUAAGAUGCAUCCAGAAGCUAAGCUCUCCGUUCAGCCUUUGCCCUUCAUAGGCACGAUGCGGGCCCACCAGAUGGCGUUGGUCUGCAGGCCUAGUGUUACCAAGAUUGGUUGUGAGCCAAGCAAUGUCAGGCAGCUUCCCUUCUUCCCAUCAUCCCGCUGUGGUUUUCCCAGGCUUGCCUGUCGCCUAUGCAACACAGGUGUCUGCUUGGUGUUCACUCUGCUCUUGGUGCUCUGAUGUGGUCUCUGCCGCCUCCGACUCACCCUGCUAAUGGUGGACUUCACCGGUUAGCGUGGGAUGCGGCAAGGAGGACUCACCAACUCUUGGUCAGCUUGUGGAGCAGGUAAGUUCAGUCUUGAGCUCAACUUUACCCAAAAAGCAUUAAAAAUUCCAUCCUGUAGCCCAUGGAUCAGCGCAGCUAAGAGGAAUAGGCCUUGACAGAGCCAGGAGGUAGGCAUAGCAGCCACAGGAAUUUAGUGACAGCUAGCAUGCUGGGUAGGACGGAGCCAUAAGGGGAGUAGUUAUACCGGCCAUUAUAGGAAGUGGCCAUUUUAACUGAACCUAAGCUUACCUGUCAGUUGUCCCUCCCACCCUCCCUGUAUUUGGUUAGGUUAGUUGAUUUCCCAUUUUUUCACAGCUGCGGGGAAUGGCCUGAUUAAAUCGGAGGGUAGAUGGAGGAGAAAGUGGGCAUCCUGAGGUUUAGUGUGGAUUGGGCAGUGUUGCACGUGGUUGGUAGGUUCAAGCCCGUCGGUGGCUCCAAACCUGGGGGUGUGGUGGUGUCUUGGUACACCCUACACUGGAACUGGUGGGUAGCGGUGUCUUGGUACACCCCUACAACGGAUAUGGUGGGUAGCAGUGUCUUGGUACACCUCUACAAUCGAUAUGGUGGGUAGCGGUGUCUCGGUACAGCCCUACAAUUUAACCUGGUGGAAAUGUGGUCAAAUUGGGUGGCCAGUUUC